UUCUGAGUCUGCCAGGAAUUCAUCCUCACAAGAUUCGUUACAUCUUGUCAUGAUGAGUGUAACCACUAUUUCUCAGGACACUGAACACUUGCAGUGUGGACGAUUCCUCCUUAGAUGCUUCACCAGCUGCUGUUGUCGAAGUACCCUUUGAGUACCGUCCUUCCCCGCUGGCGUACACCUUGAGCCCAAUCCAAACGAAUGACCCACCCACACAGGGCUUGGGGGGUACCGUUUCGACGCUUUCUCCUCCAGUUUUUUCUUGGCUUGCUCUUGCCGUGCUUAGACCUUUGGCGUAUAGCCCAAUCUUAAGCAUGCUGUUUCGCUCAAUAUGGCGUUCAUAUGGGGCGCUAGAUAGCCCGCCACCUUCUGUAGUAAUGCCAGGAGAACUUAAUAAAAUGAGCUGGGUUCAGGAUGAACCGUGUAUAAUAAAAACUAUUUUUCUAUUUUAUUAAUUUUCCAUAUUGUGACCAACGUUUCGAUUAAUUGUCUUCCAGAAGUUUAAAUUAGCUUUUGCAAAAACGAGAUUAAUUUUCGUGAAAUGACGCAAAUGUUCAACAGAAGUAGACGUCAUUGGAAAUGCAAAACCAAUAUAAAACAUUGCCGUUCUCCCUUCUUGAAGAUGUUCUCGAGAGUGUGUGUACAUUUUUAUAAGUAGCGCGGUUGUAUCUUCAACAGAGGACAAACUCAUAAUAAUAAAAUGAGCAAAAAACUCUGACAGCGCUUUUCUUGCAGAGCCCAAGUUUGUGAUCUGGCGCUCUGUUUACUACAACUCGACCCAUGCACAUAGUGUUAGUCAUAAACGAAGAAUGCCAACACAGAGAGAGUCAUAAAAAAAACAAAGAAAAACCUUUUAAGAAUUUUUGAAAUGCCAUGCAUGACAUAUCCACAAUUUUGACUGCAACGGCGUAUGAUAAGCGAAGCAGGAGCAUGGAGAGUACAGAGUCAAUACCCAAUCGCGUUCGCCAACCUUGGUCCCAGAGUUAAAUUCCGUCGUCUAGCAAAGGGUUAAUUUGGAAUAGCAAAAAAAGAUACAUGCGAUGUUGAUCAUAAACAUUAGAAUGGCAACUAACGAUGACGGGAGAUACUGAUCAAAAGAGAAACACCAACAAAAAAAAUCACAAUGAGAGCAAUUCAUAAUGGAAGCAGGGCUGCCAGAUUAAUUUGAUGGAAAAUCAGCACUUACAAAAAACAUUCGGCAAUCCAAUUUUAAAAAUCAGCCAAAAAGUUGGAACGUUUUGUUUUAACAAAAUCACGAAUAGUUUUAUUAAAAAACUGUCAAAAAUGCCUAAUGUUGAGGGAACUUUACCCAAACCCCGAAAAAAUAACUUUUUGUGAGCUCAAGAAGUUCAGUCGUAAGAUCAGUUUAUGUUGCACUUAAAUCAAAUUACAACUCAAUCUUCGAAAUGGUUGCGCAAUCGUGAAAAAAUACGUUAUGUACAAUAUGUUAUAUAAAUAUGGUCGGAUCCAAUAAGGAGAUUCAUCGAGAUACAUGGCAGUUACAUAUGUAUAUCCAUUGCGAUCCAUUGCGAUCCAUUGCUUCCGAUAUGGAGUAUAAUUGAUCGUUUGUCAGGUGGUCUUAUACAUAUCACAGCUACAAAUUUAAAUUAAAUCGGGUGUAAAUAAGUCCUUAAUAAGCUUAAGAAGUAUCAUCGGGAUUCGGCAUGAGUAUUGAGGAUUCUUGCACAAAUCUUUGUACCAAAUGUUAGUCAAAUCAUGUGAAAUAUGCCUUUUAUCAGCCCAUAAAGUCGAAAAAUCGAUUUAUAUUGGGCAAAUCAAAAUGUAACCCAACUUCGAACUAAACCGUCCUAUGGCACAAAAUCUGUCCCAAGUUUUAGCACAGUGUCUUCAUUUUUAAAGACUGUAGUUGUCUUACCGAUGUCCAAAAUGAAAAUGUGACUGCAUGUGUGAAAUAAUACUAUGUCUUUUUAAUUCUCUCAAUAUAUAAAACAUCAUUUUUGGACUGAAUGAUUGGUGUUUUGCAAAAAUAAACAAAAAAUUAGAAAUUUUAAAUAGUUUUUUAUAUUUUCCAAGCGUUUAAUCAACAAAAAUCAUUGUUUUUAAAAUAAAAACAGAAAAACGAUGCGUAUAACCUUGAGAAUGUUCGUUCGGUACUGUCUCCGCAACGACUGAAAUAAAGAGAAUAGGAAUACGUGUGACUCGCCAUCAACGCUGACAUAAGGGGCUGGACAUCGCUGUCUUAGAGUUUUACGACGAUCCCAAAUUAUAUAUAGAUUGCACGGUCGGAACCGUAUAUUUCGAUAUAUUGGAAAAGAACGUAUAAAAAUUAAAAAGAGAAAGUUUUCAAAUUUUGCAAAAAUCGGCAUUUUAGAGCGCAAAUCUGAAAAUCAGCACUUCGUUUUUAAGCUAAAAAUCGGCAAGUAUGGCAACCCUGAAUGGAACAAAUACAAAACGAACAGUGAGAGAAUGGGAUACACAGAUAGAAAGAACCUCAGUACCAGAUACCAUUAGCUUUAGACAGGCAACGGUAGCCAGUGAAUUAUCGUUGCCUCGCUUUAAAGGCAUUCUACACUUCUGUUUUGUAACUUUGCAUACAGCCACCCGCCUGUCUGCCCCCACUCCUUUCCACACACACCGAUACAAAUACGCCGCGCUUCAUUUCAAGACUCAUAAGAAUGACGUGAGAUGGGAGGGGGCCCGAACAAAUUGAUGUUCGGUUGUAUGAAUGCGAGAAUAUCGAGAUGCCUUGUCUAUGGGCUUGUGUGUGGACAAAUUAACUUCAAUUAAAGUUGUUUUUAUUCGUGUUUCUGACGCUUGAUUUGUAGAUGACCCUGAAGAUGGGAUGGUGUCAAACGGAAAUUAAGUGACUACGAAGACCACACCACUCGCUUUGUUUCAAAAGUAGUAGCCACAAAUUUUGGGGACAAUAGGAAACAUGGUUGAUGGAAAACACCGGUUGGCGUUUUCCUUUCGCUGGCUUUUCAACACCACCCUUUCCCACACCCUAAACACUUACGAUGUCAUCUGGAGGAAUUUUCUUUAUUUACAGCUAGCUGCCUAGAGGAAACAAAAAUAAAAAAAAAACUUACCUAAAUCCUCCAUUUUUAGAAACUGGAACUGCUACCGCAACUGGUGUUCGUAGAAGCACUUUACACAAAGCAAAACCACUCACCAAGAUUUGGGUUUUUACAAAAAUAUGGAUUUUUUUCGCAAUAUUUUCCUUUACACGCACGCACUUUCGUCGUUU
rnacentral:sRNA from 1 species